rnacentral:misc_RNA from 1 species
UUGUCCUCUCGCCCAGAGUGCUGCUGUCGCCUGCUAGUCACGAUUCGAAGGUCCAACAAGUCGAAGCCGUUUGCGCGCGCCAUGACGGCUUGUGGGACGGGCAACGCCGUAUGACAUAGUCAGAUCCGUGCAUGAACGCUGCCGGAAGGGGAGACUUCGCGACGUGAGUGGGCGCGGCUCAGGGGAGACGGAGAGAGACUUGAGGGACUGCGUCGCUGCGGUUCGAUCGUUGUUGUACGCUUCUAUGCAUCUCGCAGCCAUCAAGUCUUCCG